ACCUAACAAUCUCUCCCCGCGCCUGGGAACUCGAUCUGGAUCACGGCGGCGGCGGUGGCGGUGGCGACCCUCUCUCUCUCUCCGCGCACCCACGCAUACCCCGGAGCCCUGCCCACCUCCUCCCUUUUCAGCGCCCACAUCACGACCCCUGUGUCUACUCCACUCUUGAGGCGUCAUGGAGGUUACGAAAAUCCGAUGGCGUUGGCUUGCCGGAGAUGAAGAAGACAACCUGGUGAUGCGGUACUCGGGAGGUGGAAUUGGCAACGGAGGUGGCUCCAUAUGGAUGUCGCGGACCUCCCACUGGAUGGAAUCGAAGUGGGACGAUGUGCUUCGGUCGUCAACGGCGGCUGCGCGGGAUGCAGUAUGGUAUGGAUUGGGCAUCUCGAGGAUGGGCUCUCUUCGCAAGGCUCCUCCACGCCAUGGAGGUGUUUGAGGAGUCUGUCCCGGGGCUGCUCGUGAAGCAUGUCGACGUCUCCGUCUUGCCAUUGCUCAAAACACCGCCCUACCGGCUGGGGUCCUUAUUUGCCAUCCAGGCCUUCCGCAACAGGGUCCAUGAUGCCUGAUUGCUUCCUCUUCGGCUGGAUCGGGUCCAACCACACAAUUAUUGUACUACUGUCUUGAGUGGCAAAUAUUUACUGAGAUGGGAUAAUAGGUAUACUAUUUUUCUAUUUCAAGACUGAAAUAUGAUUUCUUCCUGCUCUAUGUCAAUUUAAUUUUUUUUUGAAUAAUUUACCAACACAGUGCAGGUUGAUGUGUGUAGCACGUGUUAACAAAAUCUCAAUUAUCUGCAUGGUAUAUAUAUCUCUAAUCAUUGUCUUUUUCAGAAUGAAGAGAAGGUAUGAGAAAGAUAAUACUAAUAAUCCCUAUACAUUUGACAUUUAACUUUUACCAAAUUCUUGGAUUCCUCAAAAUCAUGUCUAUUAGUGUUAAAAAUAGAUUUCAAUCUCAAAAGUAAGAACUGCAUGUGAUGCAAUUAUAGCAAGAGAUUAGAUCAGCUAGACAUACACACGCAUCUUCUAAUGCACCAGUGGAGUAUUGUUCUCCAUAAUUUGAAGCAUAUGGGCAGGACGUCGAUGGCUUCGCUGCUCUAGACCACAAUGAUGAACAAUGAAACUCGUAGACCCUUUUUGUCACAGUUUGGUGGAUGGCCGGCGGCGUUCCUUUCGGUGGCAAAUAACUAAAUUUAUUUUGGCAGCAUGUUAGAGGGAGAGGAUGGUUUAUCCUCUAGUUUGGUGCGACCUGAAACAUAGGGCAUAUAGUUAAGAUCCAAACGGGCAGAAAGUAACAGAACCCAAUUUUUUUUCUCCCACGUACCCGUUAAGUAUGCACGAAUCUUGAUGGAUCUAAUGGUAACAAGGUAGGAGGUAACUACCACUAGGUGGUAGUAUCUAUUUUCCCUAUAUAUAUAUAUAUAUGUAUAUAUAUAUAUGCAUGAUCUUUCCUUUUGAAAUUCUCAUUAUGUACAUGAUUUUUGCUACUGCUGGCCUUGAAUUGGCACUGAUUUGGGCCACCUUGUUGAAUGAUUCAUGCACGGAUGUGUUUCGUUGGUCUUUUGCGGCAUGUGGAGAGCGUAAACUGGAAGAAUGUGUGCAGCAGGCAUCGCUGCUGCGCUGGACGAUGUUGUGCGAGGCCAUGGCCAUGGACGAUGUGCUGUUGGAGAACGACACAGGACUAAGGUAGUCGAUGUGAAUGACCACUGGGUAUGUAAUGGUUUAGUCCUCCUGAAUUUGCACUCUGUUUUUUAGUCCUCUGUAGUGUUGUUCAAUUUGGGCAGGGCUUACAUUCUCUCAUAGGAUCAGACCAAACAAGGUCUCAUAAGCUUUGCCGUUGUUUUGUUCGAAACAUAAAAACAGCCAUUAUCGAGGAAAGAGUCAUUCUCACAUAGCGAUUUGUUUGCCUCCUUGUAGAAUUCCAAUUGCUUAUGGAUUCGUAUGAUGCAGCCUACAUGUUCCCAUCACCCAGUAAAGUAUAGACAUCAAUUAUUGCAUCUGGGUUUAUAUUAUGCAUCCCCGCUGGCAGUUCCAUUGUUAAGUAGGAACGAAGAUUACAUUUAUAAAUGAUAUAUGUAUGUAAUUGUGUGCUGCAUUCUUGCUGCUUCAAGUAGAUGUACUAUCUUUUCAGCAUUGACUUUUAAAGUGUUUUUGCUGACAAGAAGCUUAUCAGUCGUAAUGUUCAGCACCUACAUUACCUGAUGGUCAUGUAGUGCUAGGGAAAUAGAUAUUAAUGUGGGAAACAGAUAUACAAUAUGUUAUAAAGGAUAAGACAAAUAAUUAUUGGGUGUGAAAGAUCAGGAUGGAAGCAUUUUUUUUGCUAUCAUAUGAAUUAUUGAAUACAAUCUCGUAUGCAACCCCUCAAAAUUAGAUUUAAUUCAUGCUCAUACACCAUCGCUUAAGUAGGAAAAGAGAAGUAUUUCUAAGGCUACUCUAUAUCUUAUUUUUCUUUCACAGCAUAUAUAUUAUUAGUUAUAUGUUUGCCUGGGUAGGAAAGUAACAAUCAAUCCCUCAAUAUAAAAGGAAACUAAUGAUCAAGACCUUAGCUGGCUGACGGUAACUCCAUUCAUUCUCUUCCAAUUAUUAUUAUUUUAGUUAUUUUUCUAUUCUCAUGGGUAGGUUUCUUCUGUGUUGUUUUGCUUUAGUUUCGUAGUUGUCACUCCCAUGUAUUUCUUCGACGAGGAGGUGUGGACACGAGGCCUAACUAUCCGGCCGGGACUUUGAGUUGCCUGCCAUGGUGGAGCUCGGGAUGUUGGCAGAUCUGACCGGACUGGUGAGCACUCUGCCCACACCUGCCGAGGUCGGCCCUGCUCUGUGCCAUGCUCGUGCCAUUUGGAGUAACAGUCUACAAUGCCACAACUCGUUGUUGGACCUAUCUUUGGCGUUUCUUCUGCCAGCUGAUGAGUCUUUUAGGGAUGCAAAUUGUCUGCCUUCGGAAAAUCAGAAGAAUGAAAGAAUGGGAUUUAUAGCAUAUAUGCUCUAUGUGCAGCUGAUGAAGCUUUGAGAGAUGAAAAUUGGUUGCCUUCGGAAAAUAAGAAGAAGGAAAGAACGGGUGUUUCAAUUGGUGGGGGAAUCGGAAGCAUCUCAGACAUUUUAAAUGCAUGACUGCUGAUUGCUGAAAAUGAAAUAUGCAGUUAUGGAUCCAUUCUAUAGUUGGAAUAUGAGACUCCAUAUGUGGGUGUAUGUUUAUUCUUGCUUGAAUCUGGUGCUGAAGAGCCGGGAGACGAGUUCACUACCGAGGAGCCCGUUGAGUUUGCUUGUGAGGAUCCAGUCAACUCUGACAACUGUGCAG